UUCACGGAGAGUUUGAUCCUGGCUCAGGACGAACGCUGGCGGCGUGCUUAACACAUGCAAGUCGAACGAUGAACCUCCUUCGGGAGGGGAUUAGUGGCGAACGGGUGAGUAACACGUGGGCAAUCUGCCCUUCACUCUGGGACAAGCCCUGGAAACGGGGUCUAAUACCGGAUACGACACGGGAUCGCAUGAUCUCCGUGUGGAAAGCUCCGGCGGUGAAGGAUGAGCCCGCGGCCUAUCAGCUUGUUGGUGGGG
rnacentral:ncRNA from 1 species